AACGCACCUUGCGCCCUUUGGCUAUUCCGAAGGGCAUGCCUGUUUGAGUAUCAUGAACACCUCAACUCUCAUGGUUCGCCGUGAUGAGCUUGGACUUUGGGGGUCUUGCUGGCCAACGGUCGGCUCCUCCCAAACAAAUCAGCUUGCCAGUGUUUGGUGGCAUCGCAGGUGUGAUAACUAUCUACGCUUGUGGUUCCCCACCAGGUAACCUUCAGCAAUGGAGGUUCGCUGGGGCUCAUAAACGUCUCUCCUCAGCGAGGACAGUUUUUGAACGUUUGAUCUCAAAUCAGGUAGGACUACCCGCUGAACUUAA
rnacentral:misc_RNA from 1 species